rnacentral:lncRNA from 1 species
GCCGCGGCCGGGCUGGGGCUUCAGCGGGAGGCAGCAGAGGGGAAGUGGCCAGCGUGGCGAAUGACGGAAGAAACUCGCAUUGUCUACUGGAUCAAGGACAGACAGCUCACCAACCAUGACAGCACCAUACUGGAACUUCAAAAAGUUCUGAAAACAUGUUGGUUCGUUUGUUGGAGUAUUUUUCAACUUAAAUUCCUUUUCCUUUUUUUUUUUUGCUCACUUUUUCCUCUGCAGAAAAACCUUAAAAUGUUCUAC